rnacentral:rRNA from 1 species
GAUGAACGCUGGCGGCGUGCUUAACACAUGCAAGUCGAACGAUGAAGCCCAGCUUGCUGGGUGGAUUAGUGGCGAACGGGUGAGUAACACGUGAGUAACCUGCCCUUGACUCUGGGAUAAGCCUGGGAAACUGGGUCUAAUACUGGAUAUGACUUCUCAUCGCAUGGUGGGGGGUGGAAAGAUUUAUUGGUCUUGGAUGGACUCGCGGCCUAUCAGCUUGUUGGUGAGGUAAUGGCUCACCAAGGCGACGACAGGUAGCCGGCCUGAGAGGGUGACCGGCCACACUGGGACUGAGACACGGCCCAGACUCCUACGGGAGGCAGCAGUGGGGAAUAUUGCACAAUGGGCGCAAGCCUGAUGCAGCGACGCCGCGUGAGGGAUGACGGCCUUCGGGUUGUAAACCUCUUUCAGUAGGGAAGAAGCGAGAGUGACGGUACCUGCAGAAGAAGCGCCGGCUAACUACGUG